rnacentral:rRNA from 1 species
AUUGAACGCUGGCGGCAGGCUUAACACAUGCAAGUCGAGCGGGGGAAGGUAGCUUGCUACCGGACCUAGCGGCGGACGGGUGAGUAAUGCUUAGGAAUCUGCCUAUUAGUGGGGGACAACAUCUCAAAAGGGAUGCUAAUACCGCAUACGUCCUACGGGAGAAAGCAGGGGAUCUUCGGACCUUGCGCUAAUAGAUGAGCCUAAGUCGGAUUAGCUAGUUGGUGGGGUAAAGGCCUACCAAGGCGACGAUCUGUAGCGGGUCUGAGAGGAUGGUCCGCCACACUGGGACUGAGAGACGGCCCAGACUCCUACGGGAGGCAGCAGUGGGGAAUAUUGGACAAUGGGGGGAACCCUGAUCCAGCCAUGCCGCGUGUGUGAAGAAGGCCUUAUGGUUGUAAAGCACUUUAAGCGAGGAGGAGGCUACUUUAGUUAAUACCUAGAGAUAGUGGACGUUACUCGCAGAAUAAGCACCGGCUAACUCUGUGCCAGCCGCCGCGGUAA